UCGCCUUGAGGCGUGGCUUCCGGAGCUAACGCGUUAAGUCGACCGCCUGGGGAGUACGGCCGCAAGGUUAAAACUCAAAUGAAUUGACGGGGGCCCGCACAAGCGGUGGAGCAUGUGGUUUAAUUCGAUGCAACGCGAAGAACCUUACCUACUCUUGACAUCCAGAGAACUUUCCAGAGAUGGAUUGGUGCCUUCGGGAACUCUGAGACAGGUGCUGCAUGGCUGUCGUCAGCUCGUGUUGUGAAAUGUUGGGUUAAGUCCCGCAACGAGCGCAACCCUUAUCCUUUGUUGCCAGCGGUUAGGCCGGGAACUCAAAGGAGACUGCCAGUGAUAAACUGGAGGAAGGUGGGGAUGACGUCAAGUCAUCAUGGCCCUUACGAGUAGGGCUACACACGUGCUACAAUGGCGCAUACAAAGAGAAGCGACCUCGCGAGAGCAAGCGGACCUCAUAAAGUGCGUCGUAGUCCGGAUUGGAGUCUGCAACUCGACUCCGUGAAGUCGGAAUCGCUAGUAAUCGUACAUCAGAAUGCUACGGUGAAUACAUUCCCGGGCCUUGUACACACCGGCGGUCACACCCUGGGAGUGGGUUGCAAAAGAAGUAGGUAGCUUAACCUUCGGGAGGGCGCUUACCACUUUGUGAUUCAUGACUGUG
rnacentral:rRNA from 1 species